rnacentral:rRNA from 1 species
UUUGGGGAUGUUUUGAUGCAGAUUUGUAACCGCCGUUUUGAGGCCAGCUUGCUGGUACCCAAACAGCGUUAGCAUCUUUUGUCUUGGACAUUUGAGUAUGGYUUACGGGCAUUUAUUGGUUCGAUCUGAUUGUAAGUUACGGUCGCAUGCGACACGUGCUUUUCAUUUAGAUCGGUCCAGUUAAUGCUCUCGUACUCGCUCCCCAUGUAAAAGCCGGUCAUCUAUCCRACCCGUCUUGAAACACGGACCAAGGAGUUUAUCGUGUGCGCAAGUUUUUGGGUGUUAAAAACCUAAAAGCGAAAUGAAAGUAAAUGGCUCUUUARAGUCUGACGUGCGAUCUUGUAAAAAAGGGCAGCAUGGCCCCAUUCUAACUGUUUACAGUAGGGUGGAGGAAGAGCGUACGCGGUGAGACCCGAAAGAUGGUGAACUAUUCCUGAGCAGGACGAAGCCAGAGGAAACUCUGGUGGA